AUGUGGAUAAUUAUGCACACCGAACCUGGGAAAGAAAUACAGCAAGCUAGCUGCCGAGUUCAGAGACCUACGCCAAUUUCUGCGCCAAGACCGUCAAACUGGUUGCCCCCAAUCCAAGGAUGUGCAAAGCUAAAUGCAGAUGCAGCGGUUUCAGCAGGAAGGAGGCAUGCAGCAGUGGGUGCAGUUUGCAGGGAUCAGCAAGGGGUGUUUCUCGGAGCAUCGGUCAUUGUUGUUAAACAUAUAGGUGACCCAGCUACACUUGAGGCAAUGGCAAUCAGGGGAGCAUUAUCCCUCUCAGCAGAUCUAUAUGUCCAGAACAUCCAUGUUGCUUCAGAUUGCAAGGUGGUGGUAGAUGAUGUGAGGAAUGGCACAUCUGCAGCUUAUGGUUCAGUCAUUAAGGAAAUUAUAGACAGGUCUUCAGAUUUUCUCUUUUGUAAUAUAGUUCAUGAGUUUAGGAGCUCAAAUUUUGAAGCUCCCAAACCGGUUUUACUCCUACGCGACCGACCGCUAGAGCGCUCGAUCCUAAUCUUUUCUCCCCCCCUAUUCCAACUGUGGGGGCCCGGACGCGUGGCACUUUUCCCCCUCAAUUAA
rnacentral:rRNA from 1 species